rnacentral:tRNA from 1 species
CACUGACCGGGGUCCGGCCCGUCCCACCGGCUUCGAGCCGGUGGGACGGGUUCUGGUUUCCGGGGUUCGAGGCGUCAGCCGCUGUC